rnacentral:rRNA from 1 species
CGAGGCGAACCGGGGAAACUGAAACAUCUCAGUACCCCGAGGAAAAGAAAUCAACCGAGAUUCCCCCAGUAGCGGCGAGCGAACGGGGAGCAGCCCAGAGUCAACAUCAAUAUUUACCACAGGAGAAGGGUCUGGAAAGGCCGGCAAUAAAGGGUGAUAGCCCCGUAUCUAAAGCGGUAAGUGUUGUGAACUCGAAGAGUAGGGCGGGACACGUGUUAUCCUGUCUGAAUAUGGGGGACCAUCCUCCAAGGCUAAAUACUCCUGACUGACCGAUAGUGAACCAGUACCGUGAGGGAAAGGCGAAAAGAACCCCGGCGAGGGGAGUGAAAUAGAACCUAAAACCGUGUACGUACAAGCAGUAGGAGCACCCGAAAGGGUGUGACUGCGUACCUUUUGUAUAAUGGGUCAGCGACUUAUAUUCUGUAGCAAGGUUAACCGCAUAGGGGAGCCGUAGGGAAACCGAGUCUUAACUGGGCGUUAAGUUGCAGGGUAUAGACCCGAAACCCGGUGAUCUAGCCAUGAGCAGGUUGAAG